UACGUAGGUGGCAAGCGUUGUCCGGAAUUACUGGGUGUAAAGGGAGCGCAGGCGGGAAGCCAAGUCAGCUGUGAAAACUACGGGCUUAACUUGUAGACUGCAGUUGAAACUGGUUUUCUUGAGUGAAGUAGAGGUUGGCGGAAUUCCGAGUGUAGCGGUGAAAUGCGUAGAUAUUAGGAGGAACACCAGUGGCGAAGGCGGCCUGCUGGACGGUGACUGACGCUGAGGCUCGAAAGCGUGGGGAGCAAACAGG
rnacentral:rRNA from 1 species